GAGGAUGUAGCUCAGUGGUAGAGUGUGUGCUUAGCAUGCACGAGGUCCUGGGUUCAGUCCCCAGUUCCUCC
rnacentral:tRNA from 1 species